rnacentral:rRNA from 1 species
AUUGAACGCUGGCGGCAUGCCUUACACAUGCAAGUCGAACGGCAGCACGGGAGCAAUCCUGGUGGCGAGUGGCGAACGGGUGAGUAGUACAUCGGAACGUGCCUAGUAGUGGGGGAUAGCCCGGCGAAAGCCGGAUUAAUACCGCAUACGACCUGAGGGUGAAAGCGGGGGAUCGCAAGACCACGCGCUAUCAGAGCGGCCGAUGCCAGAUUAGGUAGUUGGUGGGGUAAAAGCCUACCAAGCCGACGAUCUGUAGCUGGUCUGAGAGGACGACCAGCCACACUGGGACUGAGACACGGCCCAUACUCCUACGGGAGGCAGCAGUGGGGAAUUUUGGACAAUGGGCGCAAGCCUGAUCCAGCCAUGCCGCGUGCAGGAAGAAGGCCUUCGGGUUGUAAACUGCUUUUGUCAGGGAAGAAAAGUUCUGGGCUAAUACCCCGGAGCGAUGACGGUACCUGAAGAAUAAGCACCGGCUAACUACGUGCCAGCAGCCGCCGUAA